rnacentral:rRNA from 1 species
AUGAGAUGCCUUAGUUGGAACUGCCGGGGGCUUGGGAACCCCGAGGCAGUUCGUGAGCUUCGCAAUUUUGUGAAGCAGGAAGGGCCCGCGCUGCUCUUUGUUAUGGAGACAAAGAUCAGGGCAUAGAGGGUGGAAAGCUUGCAACAAAACCUCGGGUUUGCGGGGUGUUUUGCGGUGGAUAGCUCUGGUUUGAGUGGUGGCAUAGGGAUGUUC